rnacentral:rRNA from 1 species
AGUGAACGCUGGCGGCGUGCCUAAUACAUGCAAGUCGAACGAAGUGGCGCACGGGUGAGUAAUAUAUAGUUAAUCUGCCCUACACAGAGGAACAACAGUUGGAAACGGCUGCUAAUACCUCAUAGUGUAGGAUGAGACUAUAUCGUAUCAGCUAGUUGGUAAGGUAAUGGCUUACCAAGGCUAUGACGCGUAACUGGUCUGAGAGGAUGAACAGUCACAUUGGAACUGAGACACGGUCCAAACACCUACGGGAAGCAGCAGUAAGGAAUAGUGAGCAAUGGGGGGAACCCUGACGAAGCAACGCAGCGUGGAGGAUGACACUUUUAGGAGCGUAAACUCCUUUUAGCAGGAAAGCGGUACCGGAUGAAUAAGAACCGGCUAACUCCGUGCCAGCAGCCGCGGUAAUAC